GCCAGUGAUAAACUGGAGGAAGGUGGGGAUGACGUCAAGUCAUCAUGGCCCUUACGAGUAGGGCUACACACGUGCUACAAUGGCAUAUACAAAGAGAAGCGACCUCGCGAGAGCAAGCGGACCUCAUAAAGUAUGUCGUAGUCCGGAUUGGAGUCUGCAACUCGACUCCAUGAAGUCGGAAUCGCUAGUAAUCGUGGAUCAGAAUGCCACGGUGAAUACGUUCCCGGGCCUUGUACACACCGCCCGUCACACCAUGGGAGUGGGUUGCAAAAGAAGUAGGUAGCUUAACCUUCGGGAGGGCGCUUACCACUUUGUGAUUCAUGACUGGGGUGAAGUCGUAACAAGGUAACCGUAGGGGAACCUGCGGUUGGAUCACCUCCUU
rnacentral:rRNA from 1 species